UAGAGUUUGAUCCUGGCUCAGGAUGAACGCUGGCGGUAUUCUUAACACAUGCAAGUCGAACGGAGUUCUUCGGAAAUUAGUGGCGGACGGGUGAGCAAUCCGUGAGCAUCUGGCAAAAGGUUCGGGACAACAGUUGGAAACGGGUGCUAAUCCCGGAUGUGCCUGCGGGUGAAAGAUUAAUCGCCUUUUGAUGAGCUCGCGUCUGAUUAUCUAGUAGGUGUGGUAAGAGCGCACCUAGGCGACGAUCAGUAGCUGGUCUGAGAGGAUGACCAGCCACACUGGGAAUGAGACACGGCCCAGACUCCUCCGGGAGGCAGCAGUGGGGAAUUUUCCGCAAUGGGCGAAAGCCUGACGGAGCAAUACCGCGUGAGGGAGGAAGGCUCUUGGGUUGUAACCCUCUUUUCUCAGGGAAUAAGAAAGUGAAGGUACCUGAGGAAUCAGCAUCGGCUAACUCCGUGCCAGCAACCCCGGUAAU
rnacentral:rRNA from 1 species